rnacentral:rRNA from 1 species
UGCCAGCAGCCGCGGUAAUACGAAGGUGGCAAGCGUUGUUCGGAAUCACUGGGCUUAAAGAGUCCGUAGGCGGCUCGGUAGGUGAGGUGUGAAAUCCCACGGCUCAACCGUGGAACUGCGCUUCAAACCACCGGGCUUGAGGGAGAUAGAGGUGAGCGGAACUGAUGGUGGAGCGGUGAAAUGCGUUGAUAUCAUCAGGAACACCGGUGGCGAAAGCGGCUCACUGGGUCUCUUCUGACGCUGAGGGACGAAAGCUAGGGGAGCGAACGGGAUUAGAUA